ACUUAAAUAGCUUAUAUAGAGCGUGAUAUUGAAGAUAUUAAUGAAAUAAAAUUUAUUUUUAAGUA
rnacentral:tRNA from 1 species